rnacentral:tRNA from 1 species
GCCUUCGUGGUGUAAUGAUCAAACACACUCGGCCCGUAUUCGAGAGGUCCGUGGUUCGAGUCCCGGCGAAGGCA